rnacentral:rRNA from 1 species
AUUGAACGCUGGCGGCAGGCCUAACACAUGCAAGUCGAACGGUAACAGGAAGCAGCUUGCUGCUUUGCUGACGAGUGGCGGACGGGUGAGUAAUGUCUGGGAAACUGCCCGAUGGAGGGGGAUAACUACUGGAAACGGUAGCUAAUACCGCAUAACGUCGCAAGACCAAAGAGGGGGACCUUAGGGCCUCUUGCCAUCGGAUGUGCCCAGAUGGGAUUAGCUAGUAGGUGAGGUAACGGCUCACCUAGGCGACGAUCCCUAGCUGGUCUGAGAGGAUGACCCGCCACACUGGAACUGAGACACGGUCCAGACUCCUACGGGAGGCAGCAGUGGGGAAUAUUGCACAAUGGGCGCAAGCCUGAUGCAGCCAUGCCGCGUGUAUGAAGAAGGCCUUCGGGUUGUAAAGUACUUUCAGCGGGGAGGAAGGGAGUAAAGUUAAUACCUUUGCUCAUUGACGUUACCCGCAGAAGAAGCACCGGCUAACUCCGUG